GAUGAACGCUGGCGGCGUGCCUAAUACAUGCAAGUCGAGCGAACGGACGAGAAGCUUGCUUCUCUGAUGUUAGCGGCGGACGGGUGAGUAACACGUGGAUAACCUACCUAUAAGACUGGGAUAACUUCGUGAAACCGGGGCUAAUACCGGAUAAUAUUUUGAACCGCAUGGUUCCAAAGUGAAAGACGGUCUUGCUGUCACUUAUCGAUGGAUCCUCGCUGCAUUAGCUAGUUGGUAAGGUAACGGCUUACCAAGGCAACGAUGCAUAGCCGACCUGAGAGGGUGUCCGGCCACACUGGAACUGAGCCACGGUCCAGCCUCCUACGGGAGGCAGCAGUAGGGAAUCUUCCGCAAUGGGCGAAAGCCUGACGGAGCAACGCCGCGUGAGUGAUGAAGGUCUUCGGAUCGUAAACCUCUGUUAUUAGGGAAGAACAUAUGUGUAAGUAACUGUGCACACCUUGACGGUACCUAAUCAGAAAGCCACGGCUAACUACGUG
rnacentral:rRNA from 1 species